rnacentral:lncRNA from 1 species
AUUGAAUUUCAGACAAAUGGUUAUAUGCCUAAGAAAGGUCCCCUUCCUGUCACUUGGAUUUGGUCAGAGAGCUCACAACCUCAGCUGCACCAUCUGCUUUUUCAGAGGACAAGGAGACCCUCAUGGCCCAGAAGAAAUGGCAAAUGAAACAAAUUCUCCUUGAAUUCGUGUAGAACAUAAUUCUGCAACAGAUAGAAUUUCCUUUUCAUCCAAAUAGAUCACUUGGGUGAUAAAUGUUAGAAACUGAGUAGGUUG